UAUCGAAAGGUUCAAAAUAAUCGACCGCCGAAAUAACAUGUAUUAAAUGCCGGUAGUUGUCAUAAUUUGAUAAUGUGAGCCGAUAUGGCAAUAUUAUUACCUCGUUUCAUACAAUAGGUACAGUAACUAAAGAUUAAGAUUAAGAUCGAAUUCCAAUGGCACGUAUUGUUAAAAAUCCGGACGAAACGGUCGAAAUUAAAAACAUAUUAAUUAUAAUACAUAUAGGUAGUUGUUACUGUGUUAAAACUAUUAACUUG